rfam:Schistosoma curassoni strain Dakar, Senegal genome assembly, scaffold: SCTD_scaffold0000583
AUUCAACUGAUGAGUCCCAAAUAGGAUGAAACACAUGUCCUAGAU